ACAAGGACAGAAGAGUGAACUUGAAUGUUCUAUGAAAGUUAAGUAAUUUUUCUUCAGGACAGGAUUUAACCUGUCUGUCUUUCCCAAGAGCACAUUCCAAGUGCAUUGCUCAUAAACCCACUGAAGUGUGUCUUUAGAGAUUUAGUAGACAGUGAAGCUGUCAAAAGACAGACUGAUCGAUGGACGACCUUACUCAAAACAGUGAAUUACUAGAAUUCAUAUUGUAGGUUAAUUAAGCACAAUUGGGAAUAUGAUACAAAAUAUUAGGGAGCAGAGUGUUCUGUCUGAGGGACAGGCUCAUUUAACUAUCUCUACCAGAUGGACUCCUCCAUAUUUAGAAGCAUGCUGAAGUUGACUGAAGAUUUAUGCCUUGGAUUCAAAGCUGCUAAGAAGAGCUCUGACUUACCACAAUCCUGAAUUGCUUUAAGUUGACUCAAGAAUCACUGUGAGACCCAGACAGUCAGAACAGCAGUGGGCACAAGAAACCAUUCCUGUACUGGGCACAAUCAUUCCUGUUCAGUUUCAGGACACCAGUUAACCUAAGAUGGAUGUUUCAUGAAAUUUGAAGAAAUCUAGAUGACCCAAAGGAAUACUGCAUAGACAUGGUGACAAUGGGGAUUAGACUGAGAGAUUAACAAUAAGAACAGUAAUAAAAAAAAUCACAAAUCAAAUAUAAGCAAACAGUCAAAAAAAAAAAGAUUUAUAUGUAGAGUAAACUUUGCUUCAGGCACUUUUCAUUCACCCUUCACAGGUAGCUGAUGUGAUGUAAGUUGAUUUUGUUCUGUUCAAACAUCUUUUAUUUUUUUUCUGUUCUUGUUUUCUUCUGACACUAUGCCAAUGCCUGUUCCCUAACAUUCCAACCCUCAGUAAAGAAAGAAAAAAGAAUACAGUGAUGACUUCAAGCUGCAGUGGAAAGGAUAAUCACAAUAAUUCUUUAUUAUAGUGCUGCUACUGAACUGCAGGAGGGCCUGUCUGUGUGAAUUUUUCUUAUAUUUUGUAUUUCCUCUGCUUAAUAAAGAUAUGUUGGUUACAUAACAUGGCAAGUCAGAAAUGGUCCAGUAUUAAUAAAUGAGGGUAUGAGCCCUUGAU